rnacentral:rRNA from 1 species
UAGAGUUUGAUCCUGGCUCAGAUUGAACGCUGGCGGCAGGCCUAACACAUGCAAGUCGAGCGGUAGAGAGAAGCUUGCUUCUCUUGAGAGCGGCGGACGGGUGAGUAAUGCCUAGGAAUCUGCCUGGUAGUGGGGGAUAACGUUCGGAAACGGACGCUAAUACCGCAUACGUCCUACGGGAGAAAGCAGGGGACCUUCGGGCCUUGCGCUAUCAGAUGAGCCUAGGUCGGAUUAGCUAGUUGGUGAGGUAAUGGCUCACCAAGGCGACGAUCCGUAACUGGUCUGAGAGGAUGAUCAGUCACACUGGAACUGAGACACGGUCCAGACUCCUACGGGAGGCAGCAGUGGGGAAUAUUGGACAAUGGGCGAAAGCCUGAUCCAGCCAUGCCGCGUGUGUGAAGAAGGUCUUCGGAUUGUAAAGCACUUUAAGUUGGGAGGAAGGAUUGUAGAUUAAUACUCUGCAAUUUUGACGUUACCGACAGAAUAAGCACCGGCUAACUCUGUGCCAGC